GCCCCUUCACCUUCCGGCGCGGUGUCCGCGGCCCUCCGGUGGUCAGCGACUACCUGCCAGCGUCGCUCCCUGGGAACGACUGGGCCGCUGGUGUGGCCUCCUGUCUCACAGGGGCUGCGAAGUUCCCCCUAGGAGCUCUGCGUGAAGUGCCGGCAUGGCUAAAUAAAACGCUUAAAUCGGCUAAAGGAUACAAGAGACAUCUGAAGGAUAGAGAAGGACCACAGCCAUCUCUGGGCUGCUCGAGUUGGAGCAGGGUGGUUAGGAAGAGGAUUCUGGAGAAGAUACCACAGUUGAUAUAAAAAUCUCAGAAGGUUCUUACACUGCAGGCCCUUGCUGUCUCAGAGAAACCAAGACCUAGGCUAGUCACACCACCAUUUUAGUAGCCACUUUGCUAAGUGUAUAGCUGUGGCAGGGUCAGACUGACUUUCACGGAACAGACUGGAUGACUGAGAUUUUUUAUUUUCAGUUGUGACUUACUGCCUGGAACAGCCAGAGGAGCCUCCAGAUUAUACAGUAAAAAUAAGUUAAUUUCUUUUCCUGUGUUUCUACUUCGGAUUACAGAAAUUUUAAAAAGUCUUAAGCGCUAAGUAAAAUGUGCUGUUUCAUUGCCCAUUCUCAUACUUUUUACUUCCUCCUUUUCUAUAAUUAUUCCCUGUAGAUUUUAAGAUCUUUGGUCUAGGGAAUCAUUGCCCAUUUAUUUACUAAGUGCUUAGUUUGUUUCAAGUGCUGUACAAGUAACAGUAUUAUUCAAUGAGAAGCCAAGCUCUGCUGAAGAAAAGUGGCUGAAAUAUUAAUUUUAAAAUGUUGGUACUAGUCAGUUGAUUUGAAUUAUGAACACAUAUUGUUCCUGAGUAUUUGAAUGAGUUAACUGUGGAAGGCAGUUGGAGUAUCUUUAAGCCAGUGCUGCAGAAAUUAUCUGAAAUAUUCAUCCUAAGCAAAGGGAAAAAUUGUAGGAAAUCUCUUUAUUCACAAUUAACAGAGACACCCUUAAUGUUAUGUGUCAACAGAGCACCUACAGAGAAUGGAAAAAGAAUAAAUAUUUUGACAGGGAGAAAGCCUAGAGGAAAGGUGAAAAUGUCAAAAGUGAAGCUGAGUUAGACCCUGCAAAGGAAAUUCAAGCAAAUAGUGAAAAGGUAAGUUGGCCACAUCCACACUAAGAAAGAAAUGGAUACCUUAUAUAGUAUAGAUAUGGUUGUGAUUAAAGAUAAUCUAGAAAUCACCCCAAACUACCUCACUGAGUAUUUACUUCAGCUUCAGUAAAGAUAAUGAUGUAGUACAUGGAGGCAGAACCAAGAUGGUUAAUGAGAACGGGUAUGGAAACAGAAUUUUGCACAUGCAAGAUGAAAGCAAAGUGAAAGUAUUCAGCUCUCAAGUAAAAAGAAUACUAGGAGAUCCAGUAACUGAAAUCAUAAAGACAGUAACAAGAAUUUUAAUGCAUUUAUCAAUUCAGAUGGCAUUACCAUAUGACUAAAGAACAGAAAAUGAAGUAGCUAUCUUUAAGGAGAAAAGUGAUCA